AUUCACCAUACAUACGUUCAGAUAUGACUACACAUAUGCAUAUACACUUUCAAGGUUUCAGCAUGAAUUGGUGACUCAGAUGUCUCAAUUCAUUCUACCCAUUCGUCCACAAAACUGGUAUGAUAAAAAAUUUGUGACAUUACCUAUUUUUCUGUUUUCGUGGGUGGAUGAAAAUGAAUCAGGUAGGUAGUAAAACUGGAACUUGGGAAAGAGUCCAGGGGUUGGAAGAGAAGCCGUGCCUAGGGACGUGUACACUGGCAUCCUUUCUCAACGUUGUUUCCCUCCAGUGGAGGUGGGAGGAGUGGAAGGUGUAUAAGAAGCUGCUACUGCAGAAAAUUCUACUCCUUGCCAUCUUUGGCUUGCAUCCGGGUGUCUGGUGCUCAUCUCUCGCUUUAGCCGGUAGUGAAGUAAUGUCAUCUUCUGGUACCCAGCUCUGUCUUGAGGGGUCAGGAAAUGGAUCAAUAAAGAUGUCUGGAUCUGCGAGGAAGUUUUCUAAAUUUCAUGCAUUUGGGGAUCACCUUCUAUGA
rnacentral:lncRNA from 1 species